rnacentral:rRNA from 1 species
AUUGAACGCUGGCGGCAGGCUUAACACGUGCAAGUCGAACGAUGACUCUCUAGCUUGCUAGAGAUGAUCAGUGGCGGACGGGUGAGUAACAUUUAGGAAUCUGCCUAGUAGUGGGGGAUAGCUCGGGGAAACUCGAAUUAAUACCGCAUACGACCUACGGGUGAAAGGGGGCGCAAGCUCUUGCUAUUAGAUGAGCCUAAAUCAGAUUAGCUAGUUGGUGGGGUAAAGGCCCACCAGGGCGACGAUCUGUAACUGGUCUGAGAGGAUGAUCAGUCACACCGGAACUGAGACACGGUCCGGACUCCUACGGGAGGCAGCAGUGGGGAAUAUUGGACAAUGGGGGCAACCCUGAUCCAGCCAUGCCGCGUGUGUGAAGAAGGCCUUUUGGUUGUAAAGCACUUUAAGCAGGGAGGAGAGGCUAAUGGUUAAUACCCAUUAGAUUAGACGUUACCUGCAGAAUAAGCACCGGCUAACUCUGUGCCAGCAGCCGCGGUAAUACAGAGGGUGCGAGCGUUAAUCGGAAUUACUGGGCGUAAAGCGAGUGUAGGAGGCUCAUUAAGUCACAUGUGAAAUCCCCGGGCUUAACCUGGGAACUGCAUGUGAUACUGGUGGUGCUAGAAUAUAUGAGAGGGAAGUAGAAUUCCAGGUGUAGCGGUGAAAUACGUAGAGAUCUGGAGGAAUACCGAUGGCGAAGGCAGCUUCCUGGCAUAAUAUUGACACUGAGAUUCGAAAGCGUGGGUAGCAAACAGGAUUAGAUACCCUGGUAGUCCACGCCGUAAACGAUGUCUACUAGCCGUUGGGGUCCUUGAGACUUUAGUGGCGCAGUUAACGCGAUAAGUAGACCGCCUGGGGAGUACGGCCGCAAGGUUAAAACUCAAAUGAAUUGACGGGGGCCCGCACAAGCGGUGGAGCAUGUGGUUUAAUUCGAUGCAACGCGAAGAACCUUACCUGGUCUUGACAUAGUGAGAAUCUCUCAGAGAUGAGAGAGUGCCUUCGGGAACUCACAUACAGGUGCUGCAUGGCUGUCGUCAGCUCGUGUCGUGAGAUGUUGGGUUAAGUCCCGCAACGAGCGCAACCCUUUUCCUUAUUUGCCAGCGGGUUAAGCCGGGAACUUUAAGGAUACUGCCAGUGACAAACUGGAGGAAGGCGGGGACGACGUCAAGUCAUCAUGGCCCUUACGACCAGGGCUACACACGUGCUACAAUGGUAGGUACAGAGGGUUGCUACACAGCGAUGUGAUGCUAAUCUCAAAAAGCCUAUCGUAGUCCGGAUUGGAGUCUGCAACUCGACUCCAUGAAGUCGGAAUCGCUAGUAAUCGCGGAUCAGAAUGCCGCGGUGAAUACGUUCCCGGGCCU